CGGGAUGUAGCGCAGUCCGGUAGCGCGCUUCGUUCGGGACGAAGAGGUCGUAGGUUCGAAUCCUAUCAUCCCGA
rnacentral:tRNA from 1 species